GAGGACGACCAGCCACACUGGAACUGAGACACGGUCCAGACACCUACGGGUGGCAGCAGUCGAGAAUUUUCACAAUGGGCGCAAGCCUGAUGGAGCGACGCCGCGUGGGGAUGAAGGGCUUCGGCUCGUAAACCCCUGUCAUUUGCGAACAAGGGCGCCAACCUAACACGUUGUUGCUUGAUAGUAGCAGAAGAGGAAGGGACGGCUAACUCUGUGCCAGCAGCCGCGGUAAUACAGAGGUCCCAAGCGUUGUUCGGAUUCACUGGGCGUAAAGGGUGCGUAGGUGGCGAUUUAAGUCGGGUGUGAAAUCUCCGGGCUCAACCCGGAGGGUGCGCCCGAAACUGAGUUGCUAGAGGAUGGGAGGGAGACUGGAACUCUCGGUGUAGCAGUGAAAUGCGUAGAUAUCGAGAGGAACACCCGGUG
rnacentral:rRNA from 1 species